GUUUUUUGUGGUUGCUUAUCUUGGUUACUUAGUAAAAACACAAUUACAAACAAGUGAGAUACAAAAACUGUUAAAAACAAACUUUCAUUCAUAAAAAAACACUAACCAUCCAUCAUUCAUGAUACAGAACAGAACAGAGCAUUCCUUAAUCAUCCAUGUUGACAUGUUGUUGCUGUCUUCGUUAACCACCAAAAACAUCAAGAAAUAAGGAAAAAGAAAAUAUGUCUGAGAAAGCGUAAGGAAUGAUAAGUAGCAUCAGGGACUACCAAGAAGCCUGAAUCUAUGUCCACUGAUAACAAAUUUGCACACGUCCCUUCAUUCUUUUUGCUAAAUGUCCACGUGUAUUUGUCUUGUUGCUAGCGUUCACUAUCUUCUCAUGGUUCGUUUUUUCCUUAAAUAAUAAGACAACGUUAAGACA